rnacentral:rRNA from 1 species
GAUGAACGCUGGCGGCGUGCCUAAUACAUGCAAGUCGAGCGAACAGACGAGGAGCUUGCUCCUCUGACGUUAGCGGCGGACGGGUGAGUAACACGUGGAUAACCUAACUAUACGACUGGGAUAACUUUGGGAAACCGGAUCUAAUACCGGAUAAUAUAUUGAACCGCAUUGUUCAAUAGUUAAAGACGGUUUUGCUGUCACUAAAAGAUUGAUCAGGCCCUCAUUAGUUAGUUGGUAAGGUAACGGAUUACCAACGCUACGAUGGUUAGCCGACCUGAGAGGGUGAUCCCCCACACUGGAACUGAGACUCAGCACCGACUCCUGGGGGAGGCAGCAGUACGGAAUCUUACGCAAGGGGCGAAAGCCUGACGGUGCAAAGCCGCGUGAGGGAUGAAGGUCUUCGGAUCGUAAAACGAUGUAGGUAGGAAAGAAGUAAUGUGCAAGUAACUAUGAACGUAUUGACGGUACCUGAUCAGAAAGCCACGGCUAACUACGUG